rnacentral:piRNA from 1 species
UAUGUGGUUGUGCGAGAACAUUGUA